AGAGGAGGGCGGGCCCUGGCAAGCCGGGAGGUGCUGAGAGGAGAGACCUUUGACCCAUGUGUGUCCUGAUCCGCGGCCAGAAACAUAUCCAGUACGGCGGCGCGCCACUCGGGAGGCCUGUCCCAGGUAGCCUGACCCUGAAUCUUCAACACAGUAUCCUUAGAGGGGCCGAAUGGUUGCCAGCCCCUACCCAGAGAUAAACAAAAGACUAGGGAUGUAAAAUAUUGCUGUGACAACACGGACCAGAAUUGGCUAAACGAGAAUAUGUAUCAUCUGGCUAGCCAGAGAGUCCCUGCUAUGUGGAAGAGGGAGGAGAACCUGUGACAUUGUUUUGUAACAAAGACUAAAAUCCUUAAUGGA